AUUGUUUGAAUUUGACAUCAAAUCAAAUCAAGAUUAUUAAAUUCAUUGUGAAGAGCAAAAUUUGGUUGGAGAAGGCCAAAAAAAAUGAAUCAGAAACGAAAAUCUAAAUCUGUCGAUGGAGAUAGAAAAAGAAUGGAAGAGAUGAAGGAACUACAUAUUUUAACCACUAAUCUAAUUCCUGAAACUCUCAAAAUCUUGUGAUAGUGGAUAAUUCGUCCUUUCCCCCCUGAUUUUAACAUACAUCUACCAUCAAAACAAGGCACAUAGUGAUGCUUCAUCAAAAAAUAUCUACAUAGGUAGGUAAGGUAUAAUCAUUUAUCUGAAUAAUUUCAUAUCAUUUUGGAAACACGAAUCGAGGAAAAAUAUAAUAAGGUAAGGAAAUAUUCUGGAAUAAAUAACGAUAGCAUUCAUAAAGUCAAAAACGCAGUGGCACAUAUGAGUAUAGGUAACUAUAGGCACCAGGUAGGUAAGAGAAAUAGGUACUAAAUUUGAUUCCAAAUUUUGGAUAAAUAUUUUUCGCAAUCUGUUACAAUUUUAAUUUUUUUCACUCGCUAAGAAAAGAAAAGAAAAGAAAAACAGCAUGCGAAACCCAAAUUGACCCAAUAUAACGUUCUAAUUCUAAUUUAUCAUACUCGAUUUAGAAAACACAAUUACCGAAAAAAAGGUGAAAAAUUCAACAUUAUAUCUAGUUUAUAGAAAAUUGAAAUUUAACGUAACAAGACGUAGGUACUUUCAUUGAGCUACUUACCAUAUUGAGAUUUUGAACACAAUACGAACCCGGCAGGAAAUUUUUCAAAAUUUAUGCACCAAACAUUUCACGAUAUCGCCACGAAAAACAUUUCGAAAAAUAAAUUUACAAAAAUUUGAUAAACAAAUCACUAUUAUUUCUCCGACACUCGGGGCUGUUCUCGAAAAUUGAACGUAUCUUACGGCGUCGUUUUGGUUACUGUCUGUGAUUAGAACAGCAAGUCGAAGCGUGAAGCAUGUUAGCUGACUGUUAUCACUAUAUUCGACACGUUAUAGGUGGUUUGCUGACAGUCGUAUAUUGGCAAUGCAAGGGAGGAUGCUCUGUUUUAAUUAUUGUCAAAAGAGGUGCGUCGCGUCGUUUCUCCCGAAUCACUGGAAAUAAAAAAAAAGACAAGGUCAAGGACGAAGUGACCGAUUUAAUGAUAUAUGGAUUUCCAGUUCGUUUCCCUGGAAGGGUUUUGGUAGGCACGAAUGUAAAAAUUGUGAUAGGUACCUAUCUAAUUCGUAAGCUAGCUUGAAUUUUUCUUCUUAUACUUACAUUAGGUAGAUACAUAAUAUUUGUAUGUUGGUAUUUUCAUUUUUACCAUCAAUUAAUCUUAAUUUCUUCAACUUACAGUUGAAAUUUUCAUUAAGUUGCAAUGAAUAUUAGACUUAGAAGCGUCAUGUCGGUUCAGUGCAUGUCUUUUUUUUUAUUGAAAUUUUUAUGACAUAUUGAAUAAGCAAUUAUGUACUACACACCUAAUCAUUUAAACUGCAUUUAAAUCAUUAAAUCCAUUUUUGCAUACCUACUGCGGGUAUGUAUUUUAUAAAAUUCACCCACUCACCUUUUUCAAAUUUAAAUAUUAGAUACGAAUAGUUGAAUUAAUUUCAACUUUCAAUUCGCGCCCAUGAAAAAAUUCCUUCCAAAGUAUUGUGCAUGUUCCCAAAUUAUUUUUAUUCUCAUCUAAAUUUCAUUGGAAAAAAAUGCAUUCAAAUUCAUCGUGCAAGGAAAUAAAAAAAAAAUUGCUGCUAACCUUGUAUCACACGUCACAAUCAAUUAGAAAUAAGUACACACAUUUUAUUAAUUUUUUCAAAUUGAAAAAUAAUUUCUUCAAAUUUAACAAAUUAUACAUCAGGAUAGUAACUAAUUUACAUAUCUAUUUCAAAAUAUAUUUCGCAUCUGCUAUUCUAUUCUAUCUACUACAAUUAGAUAUUUAAUUCGAUCAACUUGGAAUAAAAAGCCAUAACGAUUUAUCUUCGAUAAUAAUGUAUAAGGAUGUUUGUAAAGUGACAAAAUUGCAACCCUCCUGCGAAUUGAUUAAUGAAACGAUGAAACGAGCACACAAAAUUAAAUACUAAACGUAAAUAUUCGAUUCAAUGUCAACAAUACUUCUUACAGCUGCACAGCGGUGUCCACCAAAUAGGUCGUAUUAUUUUUGUUCCGAAUUCGUUUGUUCAAUAGGUUUUCACAUAUUGUAUGACGAGUAAUAAGUUUUAUUGCAAACCCAUUGAAAAAUAAGUAUACUUAGGUUCAGUGAAUUUGAAACAAAUGAAAGGGAUUCGCGUUUACUUUAGUUUUCUACCUAUUUGUAUGUGAAAUUGUGAACCCCCUCAUGCGAGAGAAAAUAAAUACGAAAUCAUUCUCAAUAAAUGCAUUCAUUUACCAAGAGGUGACGUAUUGAUGAAUGUAUCAUUCAACAUAUCUCAUUAAUUUUAGUUUUAGAGGCUGUAUCAAUGUUAUAUAAAAAUUUUGUUUUAAAAAACUUUCUUUUGGAUAGGUAUGAUUUGAGGAAAGACUUCCAUCUCAACAUCAACACUCAAUUUCUUCACUGUUUACGCAUGCCCUUCCGUGAGUAGGUAUACCUACAUAUUUUUUACUACUCACUCGUACAAGACAAUCAUGCGUGUAAGUUCAUUUCCUGUUCUAUUAAUCGACUCAUAAUUUGUCAUAUUAAUGAUCUGUAAAAUUUUAGCGAAAAGAAAUGAAUCAGAAAAACGCCUACAUUUUUGCCUAACAUUAAAUUAAUCAGCAUCCUAGUCAGAUAGUGUAUGUACAUUUUAAACGAAGCAUUGCGUUUAUCUUAAAAAUAAACUAAUGUAAUUAAAAAUCAAACACAUUCUUGCAAUGCAUAAUUGAAAUUUUUUAGAUAAGAUAAUUGUUUUGCCAGGAUGCAUGCUCAAUUGUCGAUAGGUAGUUAAUAUUAUGAGUAAUUUUGAUCGACUUUUUAAAAUUUCUAUUUUAAAGAUGCUCAAUACCGAUACCUAUUACCUACAUCACAUAAGUGUAUAAUUAAAUAUGUAUAGGCAAGUGCGUAGCUUCCUAUUCAACCUACUUUUUUCCUUCACCAACCUUCCAAAACCAUGAUUCAUUUUACACACUGGUGAUUUAAAUUCUCAUCGGUCACUCAAUGAAGUUGGAGUUUUAGUUUAGCUAUACAACGAGAAUCGCUCAUGGUGUAGUUAUUAAAAUUAUUACAUAGCUAUAGUACAUUACAUACCUAGCAAAGUUUAUAAAUAAAUCUGAUCAAAUUUUUCGAUUA